UCCGAUGGUGCGCGAGUCACUGGGACUAUGUAAACCUAAAGGCGAAUUGAAAGCGAAGGCGGGCCUAGCGCCCGCCGAGGGAGGAUGGGCCCCGUCCAGUCGGGGCCCCGCACUCCCGGGGCGUCUCGUUCUCAUCGCGAGAUGAGGCGCACCCAGAGCGCACGCGCCGGGACCCGAAAGAUGGUGAACUAUGCCUGGUCAGGACGAAGUCAGGGGAAACCCUGAUGGAGGUCCGAAGCGAUUCUGACGUGCAAAUCGAUCGUCGGAACUGGGUAUAGGGGCGAAAGACUAAUCGAACCGUCUAGUAGCUGGUUCCCUCCGAAGUUUCCCUCAGGAUAGCUGGCGCUCGUCUAACGAGUCUCAUCUGGUAAAGCGAAUGAUUAGAGGCAUUGGGGUCGAAACGGCCUCAACCUAUUCUCAAACUUUAAAUGGGUGAGAUCUCCGGCUUGCUUAAACGCUGAAGCCGCGAGAUCGGAUCAGAGUGCCAAGUGGGCCAAUUUUGGUAAGCAGAACUGGCGCUGUGGGAUGAACCAAACGCGGAGUUAAAGCUCCUAAAUCCACGCUCAUGGGAUACCAUGAAAGGCGUUGGUAACUUAAGACAGCAGGACGGUGGCCAUGGAA
rnacentral:rRNA from 1 species